rnacentral:rRNA from 1 species
UGCCCAAGAGAUCGGGAUAACACCUGGAAGCAGAUGCUAAUACCGGAUAACAACAGAUGAUGCCUAUCAACUGUUUAAAAGAUGGUUCUGCUAUCACUCUUGGAUGGACCUGCGGUGCAUUAGCUAGUUGGUAGGGUAACGGCCUACCAAGGCGAUGAUGCAUAGCCGAGUUGAGAGACUGAUCGGCCACAUUGGGACUGAGACACGGCCCAAACUCCUACGGGAGGCAGCAGCA